CCCACAGGCCUAGCUAAGAGAAUCUCUUUGAAAUAGGGAUGGGAGGCCAUAAGGGAGGUGGAACUCAUGCACAUCCUUAUUGGAGGAACCAUGAUUUUUGCCAGCUGUGAGCCCUCAGCCUGGACUGAACUCCCUCCUGAUGCAGACACCUGAAUGACUGGCAUUCUGCACUUCCAAAGGAGCCAAGGAUGCUGCGCUGAAAAGGAAUUAGAUGAAAUUAAACUGAACUUAGACUUUAGUUUUCAAUAUUGGGAGACACUGAAACGUUCUAAAAGACACAGAAUGGUUAUAAACCUGGACUGGAGCCCACCCCUAUUAUAGUUAAGAGACUAAUUUCUCUCUGUGAGGGUUCUCGAGAAUCAUUUAUAGAAGAGGCUUUUGAGAUGCUUAAAAAAAAAAAAAAAUCAGAAGCAAACUCAUCCAAAACUGAGUUAGUUUAGGAGUGCCAAUUAGUCCCGUAUUUAAUCUGUAUCAGACGACAAGCGUUUCAGCCUGAAGAGCCACGCACCAGACUACGGAGAAACACUCCUCCCCCAAUGUGGCUGGAGCCCCACGAAAGGGCUUCAGCUGAGUUCAGGUACUGUCUCCUUUGAAUGAAGACUCAUUAAGGGCCAUUUCCUUAACUCAUGAAAAUCCUGUGGUGUAUGCUCAUAAGGAGGAGAGAAAAAGGCAAGUUCUACGAUGCAACCUUUCUGGAAGCUGGCCAGGAAUUUGAAGGCUGAGAUUUAAAAAACCAGACCAAAUUCUCCUGGGGUACCAGGAAAGCUUAGGAAAUCAUCCUGAUCUAGCUCUCCACCGGUGACACAGCAAACGCAGGGCACCGAGGCUACUUUUAGGCAGACAGGCUUGAAUGGAGACAGGGCCACAUGACCACCUGGCUGAACACAGGCCCAUCAGGUGACCCACCCCAAAAUAUCCAUAGGCCCUAACUGACCAAGGGGAUAUUUACAAAUACGGUUAUAAAAAAGGGGAGAAUCCCAUACUUCAUCACGCCUCCUCAUCUUCCCCCUUUAAAACCAGCCCCCUCCCCACUACCUCCGGCCAGACAGCCUCUUCUCUGCUGUCACGCCCCUCCGCCCCCUUGCCUUAUUUUCAAUACACUUCUAUGGCCUUCA